rnacentral:tRNA from 1 species
GUCCUUAUAGUUUAUAAAAACCUUAGUUUUGUAAACUAAAGUAGGAAUUCCUGAGGACU